GGGUCAAUGAUGAGAACUCAUAUUGUCUCUGAAGAGAGAUGAUGACCUAAAAAUCAUGCUCAAUAGGAUUACUCUGAGGUCC